rnacentral:lncRNA from 1 species
ACUGUCAUAGUUACUUGCAAGCAACUCACUGUACUUAGGCACUGGACUACCUGAAUUUCUAAUUUAGUGACGGAAGGCUGCUGGGUGUAGUCAAGUACUUGACUUGUCGAUGCGUGUGUCAAGAUGGGAUUGACCACUCCAGUUUAAGGAGCUGUGUACAGUCGUAUUUCAAUUUAGCAAAACCUUGGCCAGGAUAGUCCUAGUGAGGAGUCAUAGG